rnacentral:rRNA from 1 species
GUCUACGGCCAUACCACCCUGAAUGCGCCCGAUCUCGUCUGAUCUCGGAAGCUAAGCAGGGUCGGGCCUGGUUAGUACUUGGAUGGGAGAACUGGGCAGAUUUGAGGAACUGGAAGGA